rnacentral:rRNA from 1 species
AAUGAACGCUGGCGGCGCGCCUAAUACAUGCAAGUCGAGCGAGAAGACGUAGCAAUACGUUUGUAAAGCGGCGAACGGGUGAGGAAUACAUGGGUAACCUACCCUUGAGUGGGGAAUAACUAGCCGAAAGGUUAGCUAAUACCGCGUACGCUUCUUGGACUUCGGUUCAGGGAGGAAAGCGAUGCCGAGGGUAUCGCGCUCUUGGAUGGGCUCAUGUCCUAUCAGCUUGUUGGNGAGGUAACGGCUCACCAAGGCUUCGACGGGUAGCUGGUCUGAGAGGACGAUCAGCCACACUGGCACUGCGACACGGGCCAGACUCCUACGGGAGGCAGCAGUAAGGAAUAUUGCGCAAUGGGCGAAAGCCUGACGCAGCGACGCCGCGUGGGGGA